UACAGAGGUCCCAAGCGUUGUUCGGAUUCACUGGGCGUAAAGGGUGCGUAGGUGGUGAAGUAAGUCGGAUGUGAAAUCUCGGAGCUUAACUCCGAAACUGCAUUGGAAACUACUUUGCUCGAGGGUUGGAGGGGGGACUGGAAUUCUCGGUGUAGCAGUGAAAUGCGUAGAUAUCGAGAGGAACACCAGUGGCGAAGGCGGCGCGCUGGAUCCCUUCUGACGCUGAGGCGCGAAAGCCAGGGGAGCAAACGGG
rnacentral:rRNA from 1 species